rnacentral:lncRNA from 1 species
CAAAUAGUAAAUUAACUUGUAUUAUCAUUUUUGUCUAUCCAUUCUAUCACUCAAAAUAAACGCCCCUAAUAAUAUUAUCAUAAAUUGAAGAGAAAAUGAGUUGAUCCAACUUUUUUUAUAAAAUUGUCUACCAUAUAGAAUAUGUGAAAAAAAGUGGGGAAAUGGUGGAAAUAUAUAUUUUUCACCCUUUUCCAUCAAAGAAAACACAUUCUUUGUGUCAAAAGUUAUUUUUGCUGGUAAUAUUUUAUGACCUCAAACCUAUCUCUUUCAAGAAACAUCACCCAAUUGCAGAGCCACCUUAUCAACAUCAAAGUCCUAUCCAAAUAUCAAUCCAACUGCAAGAGAGAGAGAGAGAAGAAACUCCCAUGUGAAAUUUGAUAGUUGAUU